CACCACUCAAGCCUCGCUUGGUAUUGGGCGACGCGGUCCGCCGCGCGCCUCAAAUCGACCGGCUGGGUCUUUCGUCCCCUCAGCGUUGUGGAAACUAUUCGCUAAAGGGUGCCGCGGGAGGCCACGCCGUGAAACAACCCCAUUUCUAA
rnacentral:misc_RNA from 1 species